ACCCAAUCAAAUGAGGGAAGAAAUGUGUUAGUAUAACACCUCACACUAGUAGGUGGGACACCCAAGGGGGCCCAUGCCUAAGGGAGGAGGGGCGGCACCAAAGGGGAGAGGCUAAGGAGAAGAAGGAUUCUCUCUUCACAUGCCUCUCUCUCUCUUUCUCUCUUCUUUCAAUCUGAUUUGUCUUCUAGUUGCUAUGCAUCUAUAGGUAGAGACCUUCUCUAUUUAUAGAUGAAUCCUAUGACCCAAUAAGUGUUGGGUUUAGGGUCACGCAAUGAAAG
rnacentral:lncRNA from 1 species